rnacentral:rRNA from 1 species
UACGUAGGUGGCAAGCGUUGUCCGGAUUUACUGGGCGUAAAGAGCGCGCAGGCGGUCGUUCAAGUCGCGUGUGAAAGCCCCGGGCUCAACCUGGGAAUGGCAUUGGAAACUGGCGGACUCGAGUGUGGCAGAGGGGGGUGGAAUUCCGCGUGUAGCAGUGAAAUGCGUAGAGAUGCGGAGGAACACCGAUGGCGAAGGCAGCCCCCUGGGCUAACACUGACGCUCAGGCACGAAAGCGUGGGGAGCAAACAGG